rnacentral:rRNA from 1 species
UUGAUCCUGGCUCAGAAUCAACGCUGGCGGCGUGCCUAACACAUGCAAGUCGAACGCGAAAGGGGAGCAAUCCCUGAGUAGAGUGGCAAACGGGUGAGUUACACGUGGGUGACCUGCCUUCGAGUGGGGGAUAACGUCCCGAAAGGGACUCUAAUACCGCAUGACAUCCUGCUUUUGGAAAAGCGGAGAUCAAAGCUGGUGAUCGCAAGACCUGGCGCUUGAAGAGGGGCCCGCGCCUGAUCAGCUAGUUGGUGGGGUAAUGGCUCACCAAGGCGACGAUCAGUAUCCGGCCUGAGAGGUCGGACGGACACACUGGGACUGAGACACGGCCCAGACUCCUACGGGAGGCUGCAGUGGGGAAUUGUUCGCAAUGGGCGCAAGCCUGACGACGCAACGCCGUGUGGAGGACGAAGAUCUUCGGGUCGUAAACUCCUGUCGAGCGGGAAGAAUGCUUCGCGGAUGAAUAAGCCGCGGAGGUGACGGUACCGCUAAAGGAAGCUCCGGCUAACUCCGUGCCAGCAGCCGCGGUAAUAAGGU